GUGACUGGGCUGCGCGCGCCGCGGAGGCGGUGGGAAAGGCACGCGGCUCGUCCGGCGUCUCCUGGGGGCUUUGCCUGCGGGCGGGCAGGGAGGAAGACAGCUGGGGCCGUUUGCUCUACUACCUGCCCUGGCAUUAAGGGAACAAAGUGACCAAACCCAGUGCCAGCGUUUACUAAGCACCUACUACGUGCAAGGCACUGGGCAAUCCGAGAGGAAGAGGCCUCAGUCUCCAGGAAGGGUGGACCUUAAGAUGGAUUGGCUGGAAGGCGACAGCCCGAGCACAAGACAGACGCGUUAGAGGCCAAUACUAAGGUCAUUCAUUCUGCCAGAGUAUGGAGGAAGGCUUUCAGGAGUGGUCGCCAAGGUGGCCUUUCAGCUGGAUCCCGGAGGAGCGGAUAUAACCAGGAGGGCACUUCACAGCCUUCUGUGCUUAGGAACUCUAUACAGCACUUCAGCAAUAGAUUUGGGGGCCACUUUAAACAGCAAAAUCACCAACGGAAAGCAAAACAUGUGAUGGCUCGGCACAGUGGCAUGUGCCUAUAGUCCCAGCUACUCAGGAGGCUGAGACAGGAGGGUCACUUGAGCCCAGGAGUUUGAGUCCAGCCUGGUCAACAUAGAGAGAUCCUGUUUCUAAAAACAAAAAAAUCAUGGCACCAAAUAGACCAUGGAAAGGACACUCGUUUACAGUACGAGAGUUGAAACAAGAAGGCAGAAUCUUGUCUUGUUUGGCCUCAGCUGGCAACGUUCCCGUAGGGUGACUCAAGUAUCUCGUUACUGUGCAUGUUCAAAAGUGACUACAAAGGUGCUAUGACUACUUCGAGGUUACAAAUAAGUUUCAGCAAUAGGCAAAUUUGCAAACAGAAUCUGUGAAUAAUG
rnacentral:lncRNA from 1 species